ACGUGUCACCCCGACUUGUCGGGGGAAGCACCGAACCGAAGCCCCAGUAAACGGCGGCCGUAACUAUAACGGUCCUAAGGUAGCGAAAUUCCUUGUCGGGUAAGUUCCGACCUGCACGAAUGGUGUAACGACUUGGGCGCUGUCUCAACCAGGGGCUCGGCGAAAUUGUAGUGCCGGUGAAGAUGCCGGCUACCCGCGACGGGACGGAAAGACCCCGUGAACCUUUACUACAGCUUAGCAUUGGAUUUUGGUAUUGUAUGUGUAGGAUAGGUGGGAGGCUAUGAGCCCCGAACGCCAGUUCGGGGGGAGCCGCCGUUGAAAUACCACCCUUACUUUACUGGAAUUCUAACCCAGGGCCGUGAAGCCGGUCCGGGGACAAUGCUAGGUGGGUAGUUUGACUGGGGCGGUCGCCUCCUAAAGCGUAACGGAGGCUCCCAAAGGUUCCCUCAGCACGGUCGGUAAUCGUGCGUAGAGUGCAAAGGCAUAAGGGAGCUUGACUGCGAGACACACAGGUCGAGCAGAUGCGAAAGCAGGGCUUAGUGAUCCGGCGGUUGAAGGUGGAAUUACCGUCGCUCAAAGGAUAAAAGGUACUCCGGGGAUAACAGGCUUAUCGGGCCCAAGAGUUCACAUCGACGGCCCGGUUUGGCACCUCGAUGUCGGCUCAUCGCAUCCUGGGGCUGGACAAGGUCCCAAGGGUUAGGCUGUUCGCCUAUUAAAGCGGUACGUGAGCUGGGUUUAGAACGUCGUGAGACAGUUCGGUCCCUAUCUGUCGCGGGCGUAGGAUAUUUGCGGGAAGCUGCUCCUAGUACGAGAGGACCGGAGUGGACGAACCUCUAGUGUGCCUGUUGUCACUCCAGUGGCAGCGCAGGGUAGCUACGUUCGGUCGGGAUAAGCGCUGAAAGCAUCUAAGUGCGAAACCCAUCCCAAGAUCAGAUAUCCCCUCCGCCGCAAGGCGGGCUAAAGGCCCCUCGUAGACGACGAGGUCGAUAGGUCACAGGUGUAAGUACGGCAACGUACUCAGCCGAGUGAUACUAAUAGGCCGUGCGGCUUAACCAA
rnacentral:rRNA from 1 species